UUGGCCAGUCAUAUCACAAUUGAAUUUUUUUCUUUGUUCUUUUUUUAUUUGUAGGCUAGAUUAUGUCCGUACGGUUCAUUGUGUGGUUUGGUCUGGUGGCUGUGGCUCAGAUGGUGUCAUGUCGUGAGAUGCGAUAUGCGGAUGAAGGUUGCGAUGAAGAAGCCCUGGGAAUGGAAAAUGGCAAAAUCCCCGACUCUGCUAUCAAAGCUAAUUACGAGUUUAGUGUAGCUCAUGGAGCUACCAAUGCCAGGCUUAAUCACAGGCCAGGGAACGGCAAAACAGGCGCGUGGUCAACUUUGUUCCUGGAACAAGGACAAUGGAUUCAGGUGGAUCUUGGUGACAUCACAAAGGUGACCAAGAUCGGAACUCAGGGCCGAGCAGAAUUGUAUGAGUGGGUGACUGAAUACAAGGUGUCUUAUAGCUAUGAUGGCGGAUAUUUUGAGUUUUACAAGAACGGUCAAUAUGGCUCUGACAGGGUAAGUUGAAACCAAAACAUUUAGCUAAAGUCAUACAGUAAUUCAAUUUUUCGUUUGUUUGUUUGUUUGUUUUCGUUUUAUCCUUUGGAGAUUGAACUUCCACUUAACUAAAGAAAAACAAAGUUUACGCUGGGCGAAGUUGUGCGUAAAGGCCGGCGGUUAUCCCGACUAACGACUAGGAGUAUUUUUUCUCCCCCAGUGGAUGGGAUGCUAGUCCUUCGAAGGGUUAUCCCACCCCACCACCCCAGCAUUAAAUUCACCGGUACCCAUUCAUACACCUGGGUGAAGAGAGGUAUUGUCUAAGAACACAACGCAGUUACCCCGCCCAGGGCACGAACCCCGAUCACUCGAUUCGAACUUCGGCGCCUUACAAUGAGGUUAACUCCACAAACGUUGUUUUAUUAGACAUUUAUAAGUUACUAUCAAUAUCAGAUAGUAGUGGUACAAUGGUGGACAAAAUGACACCUGUGUCAUUGCAUGAAUUAUCUGUGUUUUAAAAACGAAGUUUGAAAAAGCUCUGUUAUCCUUUCCAAAAUUUGUUUCUGCCCCCCUCCCCCCUCCCCCAUCCACUACAAUGUUGAAACUGUGGAGAGAUUGCGUGUACACGUGUCCAACAUUGUAGGUGGGGUGGGAGGAGAGGCUGAGCAAGUGUAGUUGAAUUCGCGCGUGACUGUUUGUUUGGCGCGUAUGAAAAAGCGCCACAAGUGCAAAUUUGUCCCAAGACUUUUGUCUAUGAUUGUAGAUACCCUCAGUAUUUCAUUGUUCAGUUCGAUUUCUUUGAGAUUGGUCACUGAUUGUGGUCGUCCGCGUUUGCUAAACACUCCUGUGACAUUUGCCAAUACGUACAUGUGCCUUUUGUUAUCACUUUAGGUCUUUCAAGGCAAUCGUGACCGGGACAGCCUUCAUAUCAACACACUGAAUCCACCAAUUUAUGCCCGCUACAUCCGAAUCCAACCGGUAUCGUAUCAUGGGUGGAUGUCACUAAGAAUGGAGUUGUAUGGGUGUCGUUCAGGUUUUCCCACCCCGCAACCCCCUGCUUGCCAGGAAGGAUUAGGUCUGGAAAAUUAUGCCAUUCCGGACUCCUCAAUAACUGCUUCAAGCAAUGUAGCUCCGGGUACAACUUUAUAUAUACCGGGCAAUGGAAGACUUAAUUUCAGGCUUAAAGCUGGACACUAUGGAGCUUGGGCAGCUGGUAAUCUACGAGACAACAGUUGGUUUCAGGUGAAUUUUGGGCGUUUCGUUAAAGUGACGAUAGUUUCCACUCAAGGAAGAGACGAUACUUACGAAUGGGUGAAAAAGUAUCGUCUGACGUACAGUUAUGACGGAAACUUUUUCCGUGACUACCUGGAAGACGGGUCUGUCAAGGUAAUUUUUCGUCAAUGUAGAACCUAAUUGUUUUUAAUUUGUGUGUUAUUGUUGUUUUUGAAGAGUACCUAAGGUAAUCUCUCAAAUUCGUUUUAGUUCACUCUUGGUCUUCAAAAUCACAGGAAGGUCAAGAAAUAGCCAAUGAUGUCACGAAUUAUAGUCACGUAAAGAGCCCAAACGGAUCUGCACGCAUUUUUGUACUCCAUUAAAGCAUCCACGCAACACCAAUGGUGUCUAACCCCCAAAGAACUAAGUACGAUGUCUAAAAACAGCUUGAGAAUGAUUACAGUGGGGAUGAGACCCACGUAACCUAUCUUAUCCUUCAUCCUCUAUUAGGUUGAGUUUGUUUCCAAGCGUUCUAUUGUGUCGUGUUAAUCAAUUACAACAUAUUUGUAAUCAA